UUGACAUUUUGACAUGAACGGAAGCGCGUUUUAAAAGAAAAAAAUCUUAAAAAUUUGUUUUGGAUGCCCAUCAAUCGAUCAAGGUAAAUUCCAUACCUAGGGUUCCAUAUAAUGCUUCCAAAGUUCAAUUUGCCAAGAAUAAAUGUAUUAAAUAAAUAUUUAAUAGCUCGAAAACUAGAAAACAUUUAACAUUUACGAAAAAUAUAACUCAACAAUCCAGAAGAUUCUGUUACUAUAAGAUUAAUAUGAAUGUCAAACCUCAGUUUAGAGUCCAAUGUAAUUCCCAAAUCGUGUACGUAGUUUAUUUAAGAUUAUUGACUGCACAAUACACCUGAAGUUAGCAGUGUCUUGGCAACCAUCCACACAAAGUUUUAAAGCUGUUUACUUAUUUUGUUAUUCUAUAGAUGUUAUGAAUUUAUUUAUUAUUUUAAUAUAAUGUAUCACGUUAAUUGCAUAAUUU